rnacentral:rRNA from 1 species
UACGGAGGGUGCAAGCGUUAUCCGGAUUCACUGGGUUUAAAGGGUGCGUAGGUGGGCAGUUAAGUCAGUGGUGAAAUCUCCGGGCUCAACCCGGAAACUGCCAUUGAUACUAUCUGUCUUGAAUAUCGUGGAGGUAAGCGGAAUAUGUCAUGUAGCGGUGAAAUGCUUAGAUAUGACAUAGAACACCAAUUGCGGAGGCAGCUGGCUACACGAAUAUUGACACUGAUGCACGAAAGCGUGGGGAUCAAACAGG